rnacentral:rRNA from 1 species
UACGUAGGGGGCAAGCGUUGUCCGGAUUUAUUGGGCGUAAAGAGCGUGUAGGCGGCUUUACAGGUCCGUUGUGAAAACUCGAGGCUCAACCUCGAGACGCCGGUGGAAACCGUAAAGCUAGAGUCCGGAAGAGGAGAGUGGAAUUCCUGGUGUAGCGGUGAAAUGCGCAGACAUCAGGAAGAACACCCGUGGCGAAGGCGGCUCUCUGGUACGUGACUGACGCUGAGACGCGAAAGCGUGGGGAGCGAACAGG